UGUUGUGGCGAAGGGGUUGGAGCUGUGGUUCAGCGUAUGGGAGAGUGUUGUGUUUAUGGCAUUGAUACAUUGCUCUGUUUUAAUGACUCGUUUCUUGAUGGAUUGAGGCUUUGAGGGUGAAUUUGUUUGGAUGAUUUCUUGUGGAAAUAAGUGGUACGAGUGGUGCAUAUUUAAUAGAUCACGGAAAGUUUGAAAUUCAGAAAUUAAUAAUAAUAUCAAUUAUUGCCCAAUGUCAUUUUGUUGCAGCAUGGAAAAUUGAUCAAUUUUUAAUUAAUCAAUUCAGGUUUCUUUUUCGGAUGAGUAACAAUUGCCUUAAACAGAACAUUUAAAUAUUUGGCAAAAAUUUAGAAUAAAUAAUUCUCUUCCGAAUAUAAUGCAGAACUUUGCGAAUAAUCUAAGAAUCAAACGUCCCUAAAUCAUCUUCUCGAAAUUGUCGAUUUUUUAACAAAAUACCUCGUAAUAAUCCAUCGGGAAAUAGACUUCGAAUAAUAUCAGGACUCUGCAAUCCGUUUGAAUUCAUCCGAUACAAUUCAAUUCGUCCUCUGUUCAAAAAUCGUUCGGUCGAGAAGCGACCCACUUUCGGCAGACAAUGAAAUGGUCCUGAAACAACCCUCUUCGGCAGAACGAAUCACAUCUGCGACCACAAAGAUCCCAAACGAGAGUAUUCCAAGCUGUAAGAUCCUGUCGUGAAUCAAUAAUUCUGCUAGUAAACGGUAACGAGCCAUUAAGAGGUUGGUUCGCGAAAGGCACCGACGUUAAUGACCCGUAAAUAAAUCCGUCGAUCCACUGUCACGGCCAUAAGGGUGGCAAUGAUGGGGAUCCAAAUGAAAUUAAGGCUUGGCCAAAGGGUUGAUAAAAACCGACAACAGCCGGAACAAUAAGCGUUGUUUCCGGUGGAAAGUCGUGGGGGUCACUCGUGACCAAGUGGCAGAACAUUAUCGGCGAUCUUCGUGUCACGACGGCCCCGGUUACUUAUGAAUCCUAUGUUCGCGUGUGGCCUGAAGAAUAGAACGAGGGGGAAAGCGAGCCGCCUUCUUCGACAAAGAUGCGUUCGAACGAUAGAAAAUCGCCCGAGGCCUCUCAACAGUGCACAACGAUGCUUCGUCGCCAGGGAAUUGCAUUACGAAUGGACGACCUUUUGAAUGUAAUUGCUGGAAGAGCUUCGUCUUGUCAAUGGCAAACGGGAGAUGCUCAGAAAUCGUUAGAAGAUACUAAUUCGUUCUGGCAUCGAUUAAUUCAGGCGAACGAUUAAUCGUGGGGACCAACGUCGUCAUGUCAUAAACUAUAGACGAGCGGAAAUCGGCGUGGAAAGCGCACCCAGGAAACGAUCCUGGUUGGGGCGCACGAUCACGGUCGUCCAGCAGCGCAAUUACUUAAUGGACUAUGAAAAUCGAUCCGCAUCGGGGCUGCUUCGAAACACGCACUCACGGUUAAUAAAACCAACGGUUACUUGGCUUUCGACGUCUAGGGAUGCGGAUUGAUUGCAUUACGCGCAGUGUGAUAAUAUCUGCCGUUAUGAAAUACCAAGAAGUAUAGAAACCUGCACAAUACGCUAUAAGUAGACAGUGUAAAAAAUAGAAAAUAGUAAAAAAAUGCAGAAGAAAUACAAGAGUCAAAGCAAUGUCGAAAAACGAGAAGAAAGAUGCAGCGGAAAAGUGAAAUAGAUAAAUAAAAAAGGAAGUAAAAGUACAAGAAGAAGUAAAAAAAUUAAUAGAGAAACAUAGUAUCAUAGGAGUUAGAACUGAUAUGAAAAAAGGAAAGCAAACAAGGAUUCAAAAAAUCAAGAAAGAAUACCAAAGAGAUCGAAUCGAUUAAAAAGAGAAGAAAAAUAGAAAAUAAUACAAAGAAACGAGAAGCAGCAAACAAAAUUAGAAAAGAACGGACAAAACAGAAAUAGAAGAUAGAAUAGUGAAAAAGGAAAAAGGAAGAAUCUGUUGAAGAUAGGAAGAAAUCAAAGGGAUCAGAAAAAUAGGUUACACGAAAGGGGGCGGAACGAGGGAACGAGGAAGAUUCUGAAUGUUCGGACACGUGCAAACGCGAAUAGACGUAGCGGGCAUCGAUCCAUAAUUCAUGGUACGAUUGUGUGGCGAAUAAUCAGCAAGCCGGGGCGGGGUCAUGCGAUGCAUAAAAUCCACGUGAAAAAGAUGCGCAUGCAUCUCUAUGGUUACGUGAAUUGUGAGCGUGGCUUGUAUACAGCGUUGAGAGAAAUGGAGGUAAACAAUAUCGUAACGGAUAUCGAGGGUCUCACGACGGAAUUUCGCAGGAAAUUGCCGAGAAGCCGGAAGAAAUUGCGGUGAAAUCACGAGCUCGGUCAAGAAUCGGGAGACCGGUUUACCAACGUCGAUUGCUCAAGAUAGCCAAAAGGCAAUCAGAGUUGCUUUACACGUUACCGAUAGGGGAUGUGUUAGUGGAAAUAUGCCGAAUUUGUGCAUGUGCUUUCCUCUUCGUCCGUUUUCAAAGCGAUUUCAAAACUUCGCUUCGGGGCAAUACUGCACGAGGUUUGGGAAAUGAUAGCACGAGCCAUGUUAAAUGGUACUUUAGAGACUCACGGUUGGACAUUUGGAGAAAUGGAUUUUGGACAUUCGGACGACAUUAAAUGACUGAUGUAAUGACUCUCCUUUGACGAGUAUCUGGAGGGAUUGUAUGUAAUAUACGCAACUGAAAAGCUGUUUAAAUUUUAUAAUUUGGACAAGAUACCUUUUGUAUAAUAAUUAUUGGGUAAAAGGAAGCAAAAGAUAAUUGUUAUUAAAACUAUUAAAUAAGCUUUUACUUUAUUCAAUUUUUUAAGCUAGUUUCAGUCAUAUCUCAUUCCAUAUUGGUUUAUUCGAUCACGCUAUGGUAACUGAAAUAUAUCUUAUACCUUAUUUUGAA